CGAACGCUGAAGCUGGGUGCUUGCACCUGGUGGAUGAGUGGCGAACGGGUGAGUAAUACGUGAGUGACCUUCCUUGGACUCUGGGAUAAGCCCGGGAAACUGGGUCUAAUACCGGAUACGACCAGUCCUCGCAUGGGGUGCUGGUGGAAAGGGUUUGUACUGGUUCUUGAUGGGCUCACGUCCUAUCAGCUUGUUGGUGAGGUAAUGGCUUACCAAGGCGACGACGGGUAGCCGGCCUGAGAGGGUGACCGGCCACACUGGGACUGAGACACGGCCCAGACUCCUACGGGAGGCAGCAGUGGGGAAUAUUGCACAAUGGGCGCAAGCCUGAUGCAGCGACGCCGCGUGGGGGAUGACGGCCUUCGGGUUGUAAACCUCUUUCAGCAGGGAAGAAGCGAAAGUGACGGUACCUGCAGAAGAAGCGCCGGCUAACUACGUGCCAGCAGCCGCGGUAAUACGUAGGGCGCAAGCGUUGUCCGGAAUUAUUGGGCGUAAAGAGCUCGUAGGCGGUUUGUCGCGUCUGCUGUGAAAGCCCGGGGCUCAACCCCGGGUGUGCAGUGGGUACGGGCAGGCUGGAGUGCAGUAGGGGAGACUGGAAUUCCUGGUGUAGCGGUGAAAUGCGCAGAUAUCAGGAGGAACACCGAUGGCGAAGGCAGGUCUCUGGGCUGUUACUGACGCUGAGGAGCGAAAGCAUGGGGAGCGAACAGGAUUAGAUACCCUGGUAGUCCAUGCCGUAAACGUUGGGCACUAGGUGUGGGGGACAUUCCACGUUUUCCGCGCCGUAGCUAACGCAUUAAGUGCCCCGCCUGGGGAGUACGGCCGCAAGGCUAAAACUCAAAGGAAUUGACGGGGGCCCGCACAAGCGGCGGAGCAUGCGGAUUAAUUCGAUGCAACGCGAAGAACCUUACCAAGGCUUGACAUACACCGGAUCGCAGCAGAGAUGUUGUUUCCCUUCGGGGCU
rnacentral:rRNA from 1 species